rnacentral:rRNA from 1 species
AGAGAUGUGUGAUGACGCAUAUCAAUAAGCGGAGGAAAAGAAACUAACAAGGAUUCCCUUAGUAACGGCGAGUGAAGCGGGAAGAGCUCAAAUUUGAAGUCUUCAAGGUUCUACCUUGACGAAUUGUAGUUUAUAGAAGUGUUUUCUGUUAGUAGAGUGGCAAAAGUUCUUUGGAAUAGGACAUCAUAGAGGGUGAGAAUCCCGUAUUUGGUCAUUCUUUCUAGCUUUGUGAUACACUUUCAACGAGUCGGAUUGUUUGGGAAUGCAGUCCAAAAUGGGUGGUAAAUUUCAUCUAAAGCUAAAUAUUGGCGAGAGACCGAUAGCGAACAAGUACCGUGAGGGAAAGAUGAAAAGAACUUUGAAAAGAGAGUUAAACAGUACGUGAAAUUGUCAAAAGGGAAGCGUUUGACACCAGUGUUGUUUUUCCGAAAAUCAAUUACGAAUGUUUUGUUUUUGAGAAGUUAUGACUUCAUCGGCUUGCUUCUCUCUUUAUGAAACUUUCUUAAUGCACUUUUCGGUUAACAAGUCAACAUCAAUUUCUUUUGUUGUAAAAGGGUAUGAGGAAGGUGGCUUUCUUUUCGGAGAAAGUGUUUAUAGCCUUGUACCUCUGCAAUCGGAGAGAUUGAGGUCUGCAGCGUAGAUCCUUCGGGAUUAGAUACAUUUGUGCUAAGUUAUAGCUUUUCAUAGACAACUCGUUGACUAUGUUAAGUCUUGUAGCUUACUCGCUUAUGCUAUUUUACCUACGCUUAGGAUGUUGAAGUCAUCGUAUCGCGC